rnacentral:rRNA from 1 species
UGCCUACGGGAGGCAGCAGUGAGGAAUAUUGGUCAAUGGGCUUACGCCUGAACCAGCCAAGUCGCGUGAGGGAAGACUGCCCUAUGGGUUGUAAACCUCUUUUGUCAGGGAGCAAUUGGCGCUACGUGUAGCGUUAUCGAGAGUACCUGAAGAAAAAGCAUCGGCUAACUCCGUGCCAGCAGCCGCGGUAAUACGGAGGAUGCGAGCGUUAUCCGGAUUUAUUGGGUUUAAAGGGUGCGUAGGCGGAUUUUUAAGUCAGCGGUAAAAUGUCCGGGCUCAACCCGGGCCGGCCGUUGAAACUGGGG